CUGCUGCCUCCCGUAGGAGUUUGGUCCGUGUCUCAGUACCAAUGUGGGGGGUUGACCUCUCAGUCCCCUAUGUAUCGUCGCCUUGGUGAGCCGUUACCUCACCAACUAGCUAAUACAACGCAUGUCCAUCUCUGACCACCUGAGUUUUCAACCACCGAAGAUGCCUCCGGUGAUGUUAUGGGGUAUUAGUACCAAUUUCUCGAUGUUAUCCCCCUGUCAAAGGUAGGUUACAUACGCGUUACGCACCCGUCCGCCGGUCGCCGG
rnacentral:rRNA from 1 species